AUUGAACGCUGGCGGCAGGCCUAACACGUGCAAGUCGAGCGGAUGAAGGGAGCUUGCUCCUGGAUUCAGCGGCGGACGGGUGAGUAAUGCCUAGGAAUCUGCCUGGUAGUGGGGGAUAACGUCCGGACACGGGCGCUAAUACCGCAUACGUCCUGAGGGAGAAAGUGGGGGAUCUUCGGACCUCACGCUAUCAGAUGAGCCUAGGUCGGAUUAGCUAGUUGGUGGGGUAAAGGCCUACCAAGGCGACGAUCCGUAACUGGUCUGAGAGGAUGAUCAGUCACACUGGAACUGAGACACGGUCCAGACUCCUACGGGAGGCAGCAGUGGGGAAUAUUGGACAAUGGGCGAAAGCCUGAUCCAGCCAUGCCGCGUGUGUGAAGAAGGUCUUCGGAUUGUAAAGCACUUUAAGUUGGGAGGAAGGGCAGUAAGUUAAUACCUUGCUGUUUUGACGUUACCAACAGAAUAAGCACCGGCUAACUUCGUG
rnacentral:rRNA from 1 species